rnacentral:rRNA from 1 species
AUUGAACGCUGGCGGCAGGCUUAACACAUGCAAGUCGAGCGGGGGAAGGUAGCUUGCUACCGGACCUAGCGGCGGACGGGUGAGUAAUGCUUAGGAAUCUGCCUAUUAGUGGGGGACAACAUCUCGAAAGGGAUGCUAAUACCGCAUACGUCCUACGGGAGAAAGCAGGGGAUCUUCGGACCUUGCGCUAAUAGAUGAGCCUAAGUCGGAUUAGCUAGUAGGUGGGGUAAAGGCCUACCAAGGCGACGAUCUGUAGCGGGUCUGAGAGGGUGACCCGGCACACUGGGACUGGGACGGGGCCCAGACUCCUACGGGAGGAAGCAGUGGGGAAUAGUGGACAAUGGGGGGAACCCUGAUCCAGCCAUGCCGCGUGUGUGAAGAAGGCCUUAUGGUUGUAAAGCACUUUAAGCGAGGAGGAGGCUACUUUAGUUAAUACCUAGAGAUAGUGGACGUUACUCGCAGAAUAAGCACCGGCUAACUCUGUGCCAGCCGCCGCAGUAA